UGUCCAACAUUUGACCGUCCGUCUUAUUUGAAAAAAUUAUGAAAAAAAUUAAAAAGACAAGUCACGCAUAAAGUAUUAAUCAUAUUUUAUCAUCUAACAAUAAUGAAAAUACUAAUUAUAAAAAAAUUUCAUAUAAGACGGACAAUCAAACGUUGGACAUGGAAACCUAGAGUUUGUCUUUUU
rnacentral:pre_miRNA from 1 species